rnacentral:miRNA from 1 species
AUAAUAUCUCUGUGUUAGGGUGA